GUGUGGGUGGUGCAAUCAAACACCGGCAUCGCAUGCUGGAGACCCAGGUUCGAAUCCUGGUCCAACCG